AUGGUGAAAAAGUCAGAAAGCAUGAUGCUGGACAAGGCACAGGACCGUUCUGCACCUUGGUCCCCCCUCCUCCCUGCUGCUUUAAGGAAGAAGUCCUCCCAGGCUGAUUAAUAUUCCAGAGACACAAAACAACUUGAAGAAUUGGGGUAGAGACAGGCCCAGAAGGUGAAAAUCAUCGAUGUUUCCAGGAGACCGUGGGAGUCGUCAAUGUUUGUCCGAGGCCAUGGGACCGUACAGAGAGUCUCUGAGCCUAACUUGAGUGUCCACGAUUGCGAAAGUCAGGGUUGCUGGGACGGUGAGCUGAGCCCCCGGGGGGUGCGGCAGCUCUUGGUAAGCCGUAAAACUGAGUGCAGGGCCACCUGGAUGGCUCGGUCGGUUGAGCGUCCGACGUCGGCUCCGGUCACGAUGUCCCGGUUUAGGAGUUCGGGCCCCACAUCUGGCUCCCUGCCGUCAGCCUGUC